rnacentral:rRNA from 1 species
CCUACGGGAGGCAGCAGUAGGGAAUCUUCCACAAUGGGCGAAAGCCUGAUGGAGCAACGCCGCGUGGGUGAAGAAGGUCUUCGGAUCGUAAAACCCUGUUGUUAGAGAAGAAAAUGCGUGAGAGUAACUGUUCACGUUUCGACGGUAUCUAACCAGAACGCCACGGCUAACUACGUGCCCGCAGCUGCGGUAAUACGUAGGUGGCAAGCGUUAUCCGGAUUUAUUGGGCGUAAAGGGAACGCAGGCGGUCUUUUAAGUCUGAUGUGAAAGCCUUCGGCUUAACCGGAGUAGUGCAUUGGAGACUGGGAGACUUGAGUGCAGAAGAGGGGAGUGGAACUCCAUGUGUAGCGGUGAAAUGCGUAGAUAUAUGGAAGAACACCAGUGGCGAAAGCGGCUCUCUGGUCUGUAACUGACGCUGAGGUUCGAAAGCGUGGGUAGCAAACAGGAUUAGAUACCCCAGUAGUC